GAUGAACGCUGGCGGCGUGCCUAAUACAUGCAAGUCGAGCGAACAGAUGAGGAGCUUGCUCCUCUGACGUUAGCGGCGGACGGGUGAGUAACACGUGGAUAACCUACCUAUAAGACUGGGAUAACUUCGGGAAACCGGAGCUAAUACCGGAUAAUAUAUUGAACCGCAUGGUUCAAUAGUGAAAGACGGUUUUGCUGUCACUUAUAGAUGGAUCCGCGCCGCAUUAGCUAGUUGGUAAGGUAACGGCUUACCAAGGCAACGAUGCAUAGCCGACCUGAGAGGGUGAUCGGCCACACUGGAACUGAGACACGGUCCAGACUCCUACGGGAGGCAGCAGUAGGGAAUCUUCCGCAAUGGGCGAAAGCCUGACGGAGCAACGCCGCGUGAGUGAUGAAGGUCUUCGGAUCGUAAAACUCUGUUAUUAGGGAAGAACAAAUGUGUAAGUAACUGUGCACGUCUUGACGGUACCUAAUCAGAAAGCCACGGCUAACUACGUG
rnacentral:rRNA from 1 species